rnacentral:rRNA from 1 species
GACGAACGUUGGCGGCGUGCUUAAUACAUGCGAGUCCACUGAAGCAGUGGUAGCAAUAUCGCUGUGGAGGUGGCGCACGGGUGAGUAACACGUAGGUAAUCUGCCUUCAGGUCUGGCAUAACUCCGGGAAACCGGGGCUAAUAGCAGAUGAUGCAGCGGCUCGACAUCGAGACAGUUGUUAAAGCUAUGGCGCCUGAAGAUGAGCCUGCGUCUGAUUAGCUAGUUGGCGGGGUAACGGCCCACCAAGGCAACGAUCAGUAGCUGGUCUGAGAGGAUGAUCAGCCACACUGGAACUGAGACACGGUCCAGACUCCUACGGGAGGCAGCAGUAAGGAAUAUUGCUCAAUGGGAGAAAUCCUGAAGCAGCAACGCCGCGUGAGGGACGAAGGGCUUUUGCUUGUAAACCUCUGUAGUGAGAGAAAAAAAUCCCAAUCUUUGGGACAUGAUGGUAUCUCAAAAGUAAGCCCCGGCUAACUACGUG